GGGGGUGUAGCUCAGUGGUAGAGCGCUUGCUUAGCAUGUGAGAAGCAUUGGGUUUAAUCCCUGGUUACCCCCA
rnacentral:tRNA from 1 species